rnacentral:lncRNA from 1 species
UUCUAUAUGGACUUUUAGAAUAAAUAAAUAAGUAAAUAAAAAUUUUAACCCUAAUUUUAUAUAUGAUCGACUAAAUGUUGCAAGUACAUAAGUAGCUUUUAAUAUGGUAAGUCUUAAUCAACUAACUAAAAAUUUUCUUAUCCCACGUAAAAUCUCUAUGAACUUUUAAGGAAUCAAGUGUCGGGACAAAUUAUUGGAAUGAAGUUUAAA